GCCUUGCCCCUUCCCUGUCUCCUCCCUGGGAGAAGGCAGAGCAAUGGUUACACACGGCGUGUACACAAACAAGACACGCAAGCACCCCUGAGGCCUGGGCGCACCACUCACGGCGGGCCUUGGGCCAAGCUCCCCAGCGUGGUCACUUGUCCAAUUGGAAGCAGAUCCUGUCACACAGCUUGGCACAUAGCAAGUGCUCCAGAAGUGCUCACGGAUUGAAUAAACGGACCUAGUGGUGCGUGCCAGUUUCUGGUCCCCAAGGCGAUACAGACAAGCCAGAGGUGCUUCCUAUCUUGUCCUCAAGGAAUUUGCAGAGUGGUGGGGGAGACAGAGCCACAAUCAACCAGCAGGACAAGGCAUCAUCACCAUUAUCAUCAUCAUGGCUGGCUGGGGUCGAAAAACCGGUGGACAAUGCUUUCAUCAUCUCCUGUUUACACAAUGAAAGUGGGACACAAAGGGGUUAAGUGACUUGGCCAACAUCACACAGCUGUUAUGUGCAGAUGGGAGCAAGUGAUCAAUGACAGCGAAAGCACAGGGCUGUGUGGAUGCUGGGCAGGGAAGUCUGAGGGUUGAAGCCUUCUCAGAAGUGCCUUGGAAGGUGGAUCUGAUACACUGGGUAGAGAGGGGGGAAAGUGGAGUGGUCAGGAAUAACACUUUACGAUGUUGUGGAAGCCGUGAAGCACCAUGCAGGUGUCUGGAGUUACCGCAGCUGCCCUCAUCCCUCAGCCAGUACCCAGGGACUUGGGUGUGUAAGCAUCAACUCUCCCUGCCUCCUCCCGGGGAAAGGAGCUAACAUGAAUCUCUUCCCCAUGGGGUGCUUCUCAACCCUCCCUUCCUGCCUAAGUCAGGGUCUGUACUUUCCUCCCAAGUGGGAAGGCCAAAUCUCCUGCAGAAAGCGGUGGCCUCCAGGGUGCACCUGGGUGAACCUAGUAGUGACCCUGGUGGAGUGCCCAGUGCCCAUGCCUGCUGGCAAACUUCCUCCUCAGCAGCCUUCAGGACUCAGUUCUAGCCUCAUCUCCCCUGUGACUCAGUAUGGAGGAAACUGUACAGCUUUAAAACUGGGCAACCUGAGUUCUAGCUCUGCUUCUGAAUUGUGUGGCCUCGGAUGAAGUCUUGCUCUGUCACCCAGGCUGAAGUGCAGUGGUGUGAUCUUGGCUGACUGCAAACUUCCCCUCCCAGGUUCAAGCGAUUCUCCUGCCGCAGCCUCCUGGGUAGCUGGGAUUACAGGUGUAUGCCACUGUGUCCGGCUAAUUUUUGUAUUAUUAGUAGAGAUGGGUUUUCACCAUGUUGGCCAGGCUGGUCUUGAACUCCUGAUAUCAAGUGAUCUGCCCGCCUCGACCUCCCAAAGUGCUGGGAUUACAGGCGUGAGCCACUAUGCCUGACCGGGUCUUGUAUUAUCUUGCAUUUUGGUUUGUUGAUGUAGAGCUUUGUAAACAUUUCAAAGACUCUUUGUUAGGAAUUGGCAGAGGUCAAGGGAGAUCCCUGGAUCAAGCAGGACCUAAGCCAAUACCAGAGUCGGAGAGCCAGGAGCGAGAUGUAGAGCCAUUGGCAUCAAAGUGUUAUCAAAGUCCAAGCAAGAAGUCAGGACUGAGGGUGGAAAGGAGAAGGACAAGCCCUAUCAGAAGCCAGGGCUGAGUCUGAUGAACCUGUUCAGAUGCCACCAGACAGAGCAGGAGGGCAGCAGAGCAACCCCCACUUCUAGUCCAGCAGCUCUUCGAGUGUGGUCCUGGAUCAGCAACAUCAGCAUGGCCCAGGACUGUGUUUGAAACGCCAAUUCUUAGGCCCCACCACAAAGCCACUGAAUCAGAAACCUGGUGGCGAUGGGGCCCAGCAUCUGUGUUCUAACACAUCCUCCAGAUAAUUCUAAUGCCUGCUAUCAUCUGAGAACCUCUUUUCUAGACCACACCUUUGGACAAUGUUUGGUCUGACAGAGUCUGGAGCCCUGCAGGUGCCAUUCUCCUUGGAGUCCCAGACCUGUCUGGCAGGCAGGGGCCCUCUUGCAUUCUGAGGAACCUCUUCCACAGAUGUCAGGCUGAGUUUUGGGGAAGCACAGUUUUUGGGAAGCACGGCCUUCUACAUCUCAGUUAUUUCCAAAUGGAUUCCAACCUCUUCAUGUGGAGUGGGAGAGCCAUGUUCUGCUUAGAGUUCUAUAAGGACCUCCAUUUCCCCAAGGAGCCCAUCAUUGUGGUGGUGGGAAUUCCUCUUGUUGUCUUCAGGGGGCCCUACCUUUGCUGGGUCAGGAAGGGGAGGUCAGGCCAACAUCUAGAUUCUGACAGAAUCUUCCUGCACGACGGGAAUUACAACAUCUAUUCAACAACACAAAAGUCAGUGCCACUGUGGACAUCAGACUGAAGUCUGAGAUCUUCCUGGAGACCAGCUGGCCAAAAGAUGUCAUUGAUGCCUAGCUCUGGGCAGGCAGAAGAGACCCGGAGCCUGUUACAAAUGCCUUCUCCUUCUUCUUGGAGUUGGUUCUGGCUUUCAUAAUUCACAGUGGAUCCAGAGUUGCAGAGAUAAUUCUUAGUCUUGGGCCAUUCUGGAUAUAUCAUUCUUCAUCAUAGACCAUUCUGGAUACGUCUUUGUGGCCAAAAAAGAGUUAAAUGGCUGCAAGGUUGUUGAUUUGUUUACAAAAAAGAAGAAGAAGAAGAAAGAAGAAGAAGAAGAGGAAGAGGAAGAAGAGGAAGAAAACUGCUCAGAAAGGACAAGAAAAGCUUUGUUUCCUAGCCAUUAACUGAAAACUACUUUUCUUAGGACAGGUUGACCUCUAAAGUGUUGACUGAUCCAUCCAGAAAAAAAUGUAGAUAAAUGAUGUCUCUUUUUAGCAUUUCUUACCAAUAAACAAGGUGGGAAAGAAGGAAUUUCACCAAGAUAUCAGCAGAAACAUAACUUUGGAGGAGAAAUAAUUUCCUCUUCAUUACCAGUUAAUGAAAACAAGCUUCUGCCCACCAGCACUCUGAAUUGCUGUCACUGUGGUGAGGUGGUGUGACGGGAACUUGGGGUAACGCCUUAGGCCUCUGGCAAGGAUUCUUACAUCAGAGCUAAUAGGUGAAUGUGUCUCAUUCAAGGUGGGUGCUGCUCUGUGCUAAGUCUUGGGCAUGGAGCCAUUGUAUCUGUACAGAAAACACUUGACUAGGCACCAUGGGGACACCAGGAGAGAAAGACCCGGAUCCUGCCCUCGGUUUAAGUCAUGGAUUAUGUUCAUAUCACUAUAUGAAUUACAUAAACCAGUGAAAUCUAUUUGUAUAGAUGAGAUCAUUCAUUCACUUAUUCAUUCAGCACAUCUUUAUGGAGCACCCAUGAUUUAUGUAGCCACUUUGGGGGUCCAGAAAAGUCAACAUAACCCAAGUUUCCCAGGCUCCAGGACAGUGCUGGGGUCACACUAAUGAUAAUGGCCAUAUUUUCUGGUUCUUGUCUCUACUAUUCAGUGAGCACUUCUAGCACCAUGCCCCCCACCCACUGCUCCAGUCAAAUUCUCACUCAGUUUGCAUCUAGGAGUUUUCAAGCGUGGCCAACAUGUACUCAUUAAGCAGGCUGUAAGCCAUGGUUAGAUUGCAGCAUCUUCCAUAAUCUUCCCACCCAGCUUUGCACCCUCCCCUCCCCAACCCUUGAUGUUCAUUACCUAAGAAGCUUUGUAAAAAAACUUUUCAAGUAUUUGUGGCUAGUGCCCACUACAAAAAUUGCUGCUGUCCACGCCAGGGGGUUAGCAGCUCCUAAAGCUGCCAUCUCUCGAGGCACAGAACAGUGCUACCUUUCCUCUGUAAUGAGGAAAAUGCCUGACUCCACCCUGUUCAACAGUGUGCCAUCUGUACUCUAUUCUGUUCCAUUGGCCUACGGCCUGUUUCUUGACCAGUAUCACACCAUGUUGGUUAUUAUAGUUCCAUGUAAGUCUUACAUCAGAAUGUGUGAGUCCUCCAACUUGGUUCUUUUUCAAAAUUGCUUUGUUUAUUCUAGCUCCUUUGCCUUUUCAUAUAUAUUUUAUUUGUUUAUUUGUUUAUUUAUUUAUUUUUAAGACAAAGUCUCACUCUGUCACCCAGGCUAGAGUGCAGUGGUGCAAACUUGGCUCACAGCAACCUCUGCCUCCUGAGUUCAAGCAAUUCUCCUGCCUCAGCCUCCCGAGUAGCUGGGGCAACAGGUGUGUGCCACCACGCCCAACUAGUUUUUGUAUUUUUAGUAGAGAUGGGGUUUUGCCAUGUUGGCCAGGCUGGUCCUGAACUCUUGACCUGAAGUGUUCUGCUCACCUCAGCCUCCCAAAGUGCUGGGAUUACAGGCGUGAGUCACCACACCCAGCCUCCAUAUACAUUUUAGAAUGUCUUUCCAUAUGUAUAUUUCAGCCUGUCAAUUUAUUUAAACAAAAACCUGCUGGGAUUUUCACUGGGAUUACACUGAAUUCAUAGAUGAGUUUGAGGAGAGAUGACAUUUUAAGAAAAUUGGGUCUGCCAAUUCGUGACCAAAGUUUGGUCUUUGAUUUCUUUAAUCAGUGAUUUGUGGUUUUCAGCAUAAAGAUUCCACACAAAACAUAAUUUUUUUAGACUUAUGCCUGAGUAUUACAUAUUUUGGUAAUAUUGUAAAUGGUGCUUAACAUUUUUAAAAAUUUCUGAUUGGUUAUUGCUAGUACCUAAAAAUACAAUCGAUUUCUUUUGUAUUGACUGUAUAUUUUCUGUGAAAUUGCUAAAUUCAUUUCUAGUAACUUGUAUUUUCCUUGGACUUUUCUACAUAGAAAAGCGUGUUAUCUGUGACUAGAAACAGUUUUAUUUCACUUUUCCCACUCAUGUGCCUUUCAUGUCUUUUCCUUGCCUGAUUGCACUUUCCAGGCCCUCAAGUAUAAAGAUGAGAAGGAAGGACCUUGCUCUCAAUCUUAAGGGAAAAGCUUUCAGUCUUUGACCAUUAUAUAUGGAUGUUACUUGCAGGUCCAUUUCACUUCAGUUGUCAAAUUUAUAUGUGUAGGGUUAUUUAUAGCACUCUUUCAUUAUCCUUUUGAUGCGUGCAGGGUCUUUAGUUAUAUCCCUUACUUCAUUCCUGAUACCAGUAAUUUGCGUCUUCUCUCUUUUUCUUUGUCAGUCUUGAUAGAGGACUGUCAAUUUUAUUGAUGUUUUGGAAGAAUUGGCUGUUUGUUCCAUUGAUUUUCUCUAUUGUUUUUGUUUUCAAUUUCAUUGAUUUCUGCUCCU